UUUCCGUAGGUGAACCUGCGGAAGGAUCAUUAUUGUAUUUUGAAACUUCAGGCUGCUGCUGGCUCUCCUCGGAGGGCAUGUGCACGCUUGUUGUCCAUUAUUUCUCCCACUGUGCACAAAUUGUAGACCUUUCAGUAGGCCUAUGUUGUUUUUCACAAUCUCUGAAUGUAAUAGAAUGGUUUUGAAUCUUGGGAAAUACAAUACAACUUUCAGCAACGGAUCUCUUGGCUCUC
rnacentral:misc_RNA from 1 species